ensembl:lncRNA
UGUUUCUCUACCUUUUCUAGAGGAGGACUCUGAAAUGUUGGGUCUGCUGAAGUCUCCCUGAGAAAUGGUGUUUAAAGAGCCUCUGAGGAGGAGGAAAGACUGUGAAUUUGAAGAAGGACUGGGAGAAGGAGUCUGAGAAAAACGGAGCAUUAUGUCCAAGAGUGCUGGGGAGAAGAGAGCAGCUGCUGAGACCAGGAGGAUCAUAGAAAAGCCAAUCACCAAGGAGUUGGAUGCUGAAUGUGAUAGAGGAAAGUUUUUCCAGAUGAAGUCCAACUCUAGCUCUCAGAUCUGAUCAUCUUCUGCCCUCAAAAAGUUGCUGAAAUGCUGACCUACAACUAUUUACACUAAACCCAGAAAGACUUCAAAUUGCAGAGAAAAUACUGGAAGCAUUCUUUAGUCCUACUGAAUGGUGAGGGGAAUACAGAAUGUGGAAUUAAGAUCAUGCCUGUGUCUUUUCAAUCCUUAUUAUUAUAUAAAGAGCAGUCAAAGCUUUAAAGAAGUCAAAGAACAAUAGCCUCACACCUAGUAUUUAAUAAAAAC